GCCAAUUCCGGGACGCGAACUGGAAUCUUUUACAGAUUUUGAGCCCGGCAGGAGAGAGAAUAAGAGGAUGCCAGAGCUUCCUCAGGAAACACAAUGAUGCUUUUCAGGCCUGAGGCAAGGGCAAUCACAAAGACAGGGAUGCUUGUCCUCAAAAGAAUCAUAAUGAUGAUGCAAUAUUCAACAAAUGAGAAAUGAAGAUGAUGAGAAAAGACUGACGAGCAGCUAGGUUAACAAACAGUUCUGGGUGUACUCUGAUGCUUUUGCAAAAAUGUUCCUAUAAAAGGGUUUCAUCUUCAAGGAAUUCAUGGAAAAGACUCUGACAAGUACAGGUUUCUGGUAACUGACUAUACCACUGAACUGAAUGAAUAAGCAUUUUCAGAACUCUAAUGGAAAACUGAUGAACUCAUAAAAGUGCUAACAAACGAUCAGGAUGAAAAAAAAUUAACUACAUGGGACUGAGUGAACUGAUGAGGAUGAUUAUAAUUUUUGUGACUUUCUGUUUGAAUAAAAAUAAAAAAUCCCACAAGGACUCAGAGGCAAAAAAUAUACAAAUCAAUUUUCACUGCAAAGUAAAGGAGCUGUUACAGUGGAGGAUUAUUGGACUGAAUGUCAAUAUUAUGACAUAGUAUGAGUGUGUUUCAUGUUUGGUAAUUGCAAUCAUUGUUGCUUUUGUUGUGGUCAUCCAUUUUACAAUGCUUGGUGUUGGUCUAUUUAUCUCUUGUAAAAAUAAAAUACAGUGUGUGUGUGUGUGUGUGUGAGAACAAAAAAAGACACAUGUACCCCAAUGUGUUUACAAUAGCCAGGACAUGGAAACAACCUAAAUGUCUAACAAUAGGUGAAAGGAUAAAGAAGAUACGGUACAUAUAUACAAUGGAAUAUUACUCAGCCAUAAAAAGAAAUGAAAUUGGGUCAUUUGUAGAGAUGUGGAUGAACCUAGAGUCUGUCAUACAGAGUGAAGUAAGCCAGAACAAGAAAAACAAAUAAUCAUAUAUUAACACAUAUAUGUGGAAUCUAGAAAAAUCGUACAGAUGAACCUAUUUGUAGGGCAGGAAUAGAGAUAAAGACGUAGAG